UCUCCGUAGGUGAACCUGCGGAGGGAUCAUUACUGAGUGAGGGCCCCCGGCCCGACCUCCAACCCUUUGUGUAUCUCGACCCUGUUGCCUCGGGGGCGACCCGGCCUUCGGGCGUCGGGGCCCCCGGCGGACCACUCCAAACACUGCAUCUCUAGCGUCUGAGUCAGAUAUUGAAUCAAUCAAAACUUUCAACAACGGAUCUCUUGGUUCUGGCAUCGAUGAAGAACGCAGC
rnacentral:misc_RNA from 1 species